GUAGAUACUUCAGGGAGAAGGGGCGUAGGAGGGUUAGGUGUAGUUGCGGGAACGGUUCUAGCUAGGAGCGUCUGGAGAGCCUGAGCUAUUUGAUCCAUACGAUGAUCCUGCUCUACAAAUCUUGCCUCAUGGGACGCCAUCUGUUGAGCUAAAUCUGCGGGGUCCAUGGCCCUAUCGUAAUGUAACGAGAAUAUACCCCUACACGCAGGAUCCAGCUAAACAGAGGCAAAUACAGAGGAGAGAUACGUCUACCGGACCUUAGAAUGGCCGGACUUGACGUAUAUGAGAGAAGACAGAGCCAGGAACAAACCGAGGUCAAGG
rnacentral:lncRNA from 1 species